rnacentral:rRNA from 1 species
CUGUGAGCUCGAUGAGUAGGGCGGGACACGUGGUAUCCUGUCUGAAUAUGGGGGGACCAUCCUCCAAGGCUAAAUACUCCUGACUGACCGAUAGUGAACCAGUACCGUGAGGGAAAGGCGAAAAGAACCCCGGCGAGGGGAGUGAAAAAGAACCUGAAACCGUGUACGUACAAGCAGUGGGAGCACAGAGCAAUCUGUGUGACUGCGUACCUUUUGUAUAAUGGGUCAGCGACUUAUAUUCUGUAGCAAGGUUAACCGAAUAGGGGAGCCGAAGGGAAACCGAGUCUUAACUGGGCGUUAAGUUGCAGGGUAUAGACCCGAAACCCGGUGAUCUAGCCAUGGGCAGGUUGAAGGUUGGGUAACACUAACUGGAGGACCGAACCGACUAAUGUUGAAAAAUUAGCGGAUGACUUGUGGCUGGGGGUGAAAGGCCAAUCAAACCGGGAGAUAGCUGGUUCUCCCCGAAAGCUAUUUAGGUAGCGCCUCGUGAAUUCAUCUCCGGGGGUAGAGCACUGUUUCGGCAAGGGGGUCAUCCCGACUUACCAACCCGAUGCAAACUGCGAAUACCGGAGAAUGUUAUCACGGGAGACACACGGCGGGUGCUAACGUCCGUCGUGAAGAGGGAAACAACCCAGACCGCCAGCUAAGGUCCCAAAGUCAUGGUUAAGUGGGAAACGAUGUGGGAAGGCCCAGACAGCCAGGAUGUUGGCUUAGAAGCAGCCAUCAUUUAAAGAAAGCGUAAUAGCUCACUGGUCGAGUCGGCCUGCGCGGAAGAUGUAACGGGGCUAAACCAUGCACCGAAGCUGCGGCAGCGACGCUUAUGCGUUGUUGGGUAGGGGAGCGUUCUGUAAGCCUGCGAAGGUGUGCUGUGAGGCAUGCUGGAGGUAUCAGAAGUGCGAAUGCUGACAUAAGUAACGAUAAAGCGGGUGAAAAGCCCGCUCGCCGGAAGACCAAGGGUUCCUGUCCAACGUUAAUCGGGGCAGGGUGAGUCGACCCCUAAGGCGAGGCCGAAAGGCGUAGUCGAUGGGAAACAGGUUAAUAUUCCUGUACUUGGUGUUACUGCGAAGGGGGGACGGAGAAGGCUAUGUUGGCCGGGCGACGGUUGUCCCGGUUUAAGCGUGUAGGCUGGUUUUCCAGGCAAAUCCGGAAAAUCAAGGCUGAGGCGUGAUGACGAGGCACUACGGUGCUGAAGCAACAAAUGCCCUGCUUCCAGGAAAAGCCUCUAAGCAUCAGGUAACAUCAAAUCGUACCCCAAACCGACACAGGUGGUCAGGUAGAGAAUACCAAGGCGCUUGAGAGAACUCGGGUGAAGGAACUAGGCAAAAUGGUGCCGUAACUUCGGGAGAAGGCACGCUGAUAUGUAGGUGAAGUCCCUCGCGGAUGGAGCUGAAAUCAGUCGAAGAUACCAGCUGGCUGCAACUGUUUAUUAAAAACACAGCACUGUGCAAACACGAAAGUGGACGUAUACGGUGUGACGCCUGCCCGGUGCCGGAAGGUUAAUUGAUGGGGUUAGCGCAAGCGAAGCUCUUGAUCGAAGCCCCGGUAAACGGCGGCCGUAACUAUAACGGUCCUAAGGUAGCGAAAUUCCUUGUCGGGUAAGUUCCGACCUGCACGAAUGGCGUAAUGAUGGCCAGGCUGUCUCCACCCGAGACUCAGUGAAAUUGAACUCGCUGUGAAGAUGCAGUGUACCCGCGGCAAGACGGAAAGACCCCGUGAACCUUUACUAUAGCUUGACACUGAACAUUGAGCCUUGAUGUGUAGGAUAGGUGGGAGGCUUUGAAGUGUGGACGCCAGUCUGCAUGGAGCCGACCUUGAAAUACCACCCUUUAAUGUUUGAUGUUCUAACGUUGACCCGUAAUCCGGGUUGCGGACAGUGUCUGGUGGGUAGUUUGACUGGGGCGGUCUCCUCCUAAAGAGUAACGGAGGAGCACGAAGGUUGGCUAAUCCUGGUCGGACAUCAGGAGGUUAGUGCAAUGGCAUAAGCCAGCUUGACUGCGAGCGUGACGGCGCGAGCAGGUGCGAAAGCAGGUCAUAGUGAUCCGGUGGUUCUGAAUGGAAGGGCCAUCGCUCAACGGAUAAAAGGUACUCCGGGGAUAACAGGCUGAUACCGCCCAAGAGUUCAUAUCGACGGCGGUGUUUGGCACCUCGAUGUCGGCUCAUCACAUCCUGGGGCUGAAGUAGGUCCCAAGGGUAUGGCUGUUCGCCAUUUAAAGUGGUACGCGAGCUGGGUUUAGAACGUCGUGAGACAGUUCGGUCCCUAUCUGCCGUGGGCGCUGGAGAAUUGAGGGGGGCUGCUCCUAGUACGAGAGGACCGGAGUGGACGCAUCACUGGUGUUCGGGUUGUCAUGCCAAUGGCACUGCCCGGUAGCUAAAUGCGGAAGAGAUAAGUGCUGAAAGCAUCUAAGCACGAAACUUGCCCCGAGAUGAGUUCUCCCUGACUCCUUGAGAGUCCUGAAGGAACGUUGAAGACGACGACGUUGAUAGGCCGGGUGUGUAAGCGCAGCGAUGCGUUGAGCUAACCGGUACUAAUGAACCGUGAGGCUUAACCUUACAACGCCGAAG